rnacentral:rRNA from 1 species
AACGAACGCUGGCGGCAUGCCUAACACAUGCAAGUCGAACGAACUCUUCGGAGUUAGUGGCGCACGGGUGCGUAACGCGUGGGAAUCUGCCCUUGGGUACGGAAUAACUCAGAGAAAUUUGUGCUAAUACCGUAUAAUGACUUCGGUCCAAAGAUUUAUCGCCCAAGGAUGAGCCCGCGUAAGAUUAGCUAGUUGGUGAGGUAAAAGCUCACCAAGGCGACGAUCUUUUGCUGGUCUGAGAGGAUGAUCAGCCGCACUGGGACUGAGACACGGCCCAGACUCCUACGGGAGGCAGCAGUGGGGAAUAUUGGACAAUGGGCGAAAGCCUGAUCCAGCAAUGCCGCGUGAGUGAUGAAGGCCUUAGGGUUGUAAAGCUCUUUUACCCGGGAUGAUAAUGACAGUACCGGGAGAAUAAGCUCCGGCUAACUCCGUGCAGCAGCCGCGGUAAUACGGAGGGAGCUAGCGUUGUUCGGAAUUACUGGGCGUAAAGCGCGCG